ACAGAGGGUGCAAGCGUUAAUCGGAAUGACUGGGCGUAAAGGGCACGUAGGCGGAUAGAUGUGUCAUAGGUGAAAUCCCCGGGCUCAACCUGGGAACUGCCUGUGAAACUGUGUAUCUAGAAUAGAGUAGAGGUAAGUGGAAUUUCCGGUGUAGCGGUGAAAUGCGUAGAUAUCGGAAAGAACACCAGUGGCGAAGGCGACUUACUGGACUCAUAUUGACGCUGAGGUGCGAAAGCGUGGGGAGCAAACGGGAUUAGAUACCCCGGUAGUCCACGCUGUAAACGAUGAGAACUAGAUGCUUGUUGACUAAGGUUAAUGAGUAUUGAAGCAAACGCGUUAAGUUCUCCGCCUGGGGAGUACGGCCGCAAGGUUA
rnacentral:rRNA from 1 species